AUUCACGAGGACAAAGUUCCACAAGAAUGUAUUUAGCCAAGAGGGCAACUGAGCCUCUAUGACUUGGAGCCUUUUUGUUCAUCUUUCUUCAACCAUUUUAAAACACCAAGUAUCCUUCAUACAACGGCUUCCCUACAGAGACAUCUUCCUGUCUGACUCUCCUCCUCAAUAAACUGCAACCUUCUUUCUGAAGCAGUCGCCAUGUUUAUUCCCAGCUUGGACUGAACCACGAUGAAGACUUUUCUUUCAACACCAGCAUGUGGAUGGAUUAUUUGAAGAACCGCCUCUUCCCAAUCAUAUCUAUCUGUCCCACCUAGCCUGGCAGGAAGGACAUGUUGUGGUUCCCAUCCAUGAAAAAAUGCAUCUGACCAGAUGCAGGUAAAGAACCUUUUCUGCCAUGGCACCCACCUUUGGGAACAUCAUACCAACUGAAGUCAGAUUGGCCCUGACUUGCUGACCUUCCAGAACAGUGUGAAAACAUUUAGCCUGGGGAUCUAGUUGUGGUGGUAUGGAGUUCACAAAAUGGCUGUUUUGUUGAUUGUGUUCUUCCACAAAUUAUGUUUUUAUUGUUUAAUAGUUUUUAAAAAUUGUUUUAAUGUUUUUAAAUGAUUCUUGUGGUUAUUUUUGAUUAUUUUAUACUAUGUUUUUAACUUUGUAUGCCACUAAGAAACACAUAUAUGAGAUGGGCAAUUAUAUAA